UUCGAUCACCAAAGUUAAGCAAUGUCGAGCCUUGUCAGUACGUAGAUGGGUGACUGCUUGGGAAUACCAGGUGCUGUAAG